GUGUGGUUGUUUUCUUUGGGUUACGAUCUCUGCUUUGGUGUGAUAUUAUCAAAAACAUGGAGAAUAUAUUAUAUCUUUCACAAUCCAAAGCCAAACAAGAAAGGAAUGAAGGAUUGGGUACUUUUAUUCAUUGUAUUACUCAUUAUUUCUAUUGAUAUCAUUAUCAUUCUUGUUGGGUCUACAGUUCCACAAUCAAGACUGACCAGUUUUGAGGUAGCAGAAAGUGGAAAUUCUCAAGAAAUAAAUGAUGAGGGGAAAG